rnacentral:rRNA from 1 species
AUUGAACGCUGGCGGCAGGCCUAACACAUGCAAGUCGAGCGGAGCGGCGGACGGGUGCGUAAUGCCUAGGAAUCUGCCUGGUAGUGGUGGAUAACGUCCGGAAACGGGCGCUAAUACCGCAUACUAUCAGAUGAGCCUAGGUCGGAUUAGCUAGUUGGUGGGGGAAAGGCCUACCAAGGCGACGAUCCGUAACUGGUAUGAGAGGAUGAUCAGUCACACUGGAACGGAGACACGGUCCAGAAUCCUACGGGAGGCAGCAGUGGGGAAGAUUGGACAAUGGGAGAAAGCCUGAUCCAGCCAUGCAGCGUGUGGGAAGAAGGUCUUCGGAUUGUAAAGCACUUUAAGUUGGGAGGCGUUACCAAAAGAAUAAGCACCGGCUAACUUCGUGCCAGCAGCCGCGGUAAUUC